CCUACGGGUGGCAGCAGUGAGGAAUAUUGGUCAAUGGACGAGAGUCUGAACCAGCCAAGUAGCGUGAAGGAUGACUGCCCUAUGGGUUGUAAACUUCUUUUAUAUGGGAAUAAAACGUUCCACGUGUGGGAUUUUGUAUGUACCAUAUGAAUAAGGAUCGGCUAACUCCGUCCCAGCAGCCGCGGUAAUACGGAGGAUCCGAGCGUUAUCCGGAUUUAUUGGGUUUAAAGGGAGCGUAGGUGGAUUGUUAAGUCAGUUGUGAAAGUUUGCGGCUCAACCGUAAAAUUGCAGUUGAAACUGGCAGUCUUGAGUACAGUAGAGGUGGGCGGAAUUCGUGGUGUAGCGGUGAAAUGCUUAGAUAUCACGAAGAACUCCGAUUGCGAAGGCAGUUCACUGGACUGCAACUGACACUGAGGCUCGAAAGUGUGGGUAUCAAACAGGAUUAGAGACCCCAGUAGUC
rnacentral:rRNA from 1 species